UUGUUUUGGCAGCAAAUAUGCUGGAAAUGGAAUGAUACAGAGAAGAUUAGCAUGGCCCCUGCUCAAGAAUAACAUGCAAAUUCAUGAAGGAAAUCAAGUUUUU